UGAGGAAUAUUGGUCAAUGGGCGGGAGCCUGAACCAGCCAAGCCGCGUGAGGGAGGAAGGCCCUAUGGGUCGUAAACCUCUUUUGUCAGGGAACAAAAGCGAGUAUGUAUACUAGUCUGAGUGUACCUGAAGAAAAAGCAUCGGCUAACUCCGUGCCAGCAGCCGCGGUAAUACGGAGGAUGCGAGCGUUAUCCGGAUUUAUUGGGUUUAAAGGGUGCGUAGGCGGCGGUGCAAGUCAGCGGUAAAAGCCCGGGGGCUCAACCCCGGCGAGCCGUUGAAAGCUGCAGUGCUAGAGAAGGCGAGAGGUACGCGGAAUGCGCAGUGUAGCGGUGAAAUGCUUAGAUAUUGCGCAGAACUCCGAUUGCGAAGGCAGCGUACUGGCGCCUGACUGACGCUGAGGCACGAAAGCGUGGGGAUCGAACAGGAUUAGAUACC
rnacentral:rRNA from 1 species